rnacentral:rRNA from 1 species
UACGAAGGGGGCUAGCGUUGCUCGGAAUCACUGGGCGUAAAGGGUGCGUAGUCGGGUCUUUAAGUCAGAGGUGAAAUCCUGGAGCUCAACUCCAGAACUGCCUUUGAUACUGAGGAUCUUGAGUUCGGGAGAGGUGAGUGGAACUGCGAGUGUAGAGGUGAAAUUCGUAGAUAUUCGCAAGAACACCAGUGGCGAAGGCGGCUCACUGGCCCGAUACUGACGCUGAGGCACGAAAGCGUGGGGAGCAAACAGG